rnacentral:rRNA from 1 species
UACAGAGGGUGCGAGCGUUAAUCGGAAUCACUGGGCGUAAAGCGCACGUAGGCGGGUUGUUAAGUCGGGGGUGAAAUCCUGGAGCUCAACUCCAGAACUGCCUUCGAUACUGGCGACCUUGAGUCCGGGAGAGGUGAGUGGAACUCCGAGUGUAGAGGUGAAAUUCGUAGAUAUUCGGAAGAACACCAGUGGCGAAGGCGGCUCACUGGCCCGGUACUGACGCUGAGGUGCGAAAGCGUGGGGAGCAAACAGG